UCGGCUGUUAAAAUGACUCGGUCAAAAAGAACUCCUUUUCUCACCUUCCUUGCAGUUCUCCGCCUUUGUCUUCGCAGGAGUCCUGAAGCUCCCCGGAGCCCAUCUUCCGCCUCAAUCAAGGGUUCUUCAUUUUCCUUUUUCUCUAUCCAAUCAAAGGGGAGAAACAAUCCAGGAUGCUAGAAAUGGUUUUACCUGUCCCUCCCCUGCAUGGUUUAAUCGCUUUCAGCGGUUUGACUAAGAGGAGGGAGUUGGGUGGCCCACUGUCCUGAGGCUGGAGAAAACCAUCGCCAAGUUGCUUUUUCAGCUCUAUCUCCUGUUGUCUACGAAGAGCCACUUGGGCAGCCAUGAUCCGGCGUCUCUGCCUAGAAGACCCAAUGUUGUUUUUUAAACAAUAAAAUUCCAGAAGAAGUAAAGACAAACCAUCA